AGGAGUCCUAUGGAGUUUUGUUUUUG
rnacentral:piRNA from 1 species